AUUGAACGCUGGCGGCAGGCCUAACACAUGCAAGUCGAACGAGUGGCGGACGGGUGAGUAAUGUCUGGGACACUGCCUGAUGGAGGGGGAUAACUACUGGAAACGGUAGCUAAUACCGCAUACCAUCAGAUGUGCCCAGCUGGGAUUAGCUAGUUGGUGGGGUAACGGCUCACCAGGGCCACGAUCCCUAGCUGGUCUGAGAGGAUGACCAGCCACACGGGAACGGAGAAACGGACCAGAAUCCUACGGGAGGCAGCAGUGGAGAAUAGUGCACAAUGGGCGCAAGCCUGAGGCAGCAGUGCCGCGUGUAUGAAGAAGGCCUUAGGGUUGUAAAGGACUUUCAGCGGGGAGGCGUGACCCGCAGAAGAAGCACCGGCUAACUCCGUGCCAGCAGCCGCGGUAAUAC
rnacentral:rRNA from 1 species